GGUGAAGCUACGUAGUGGCUUGCCAUACUAAACUAGAAUGCCUGGUCACAUUUCAAGAGGAAAAUGUAUUAUCAAUUGAUUUCAUUCAAGUUACGAGGUUAAUCAAUUCCCAAUUGCCAGAGAUUUAUCCCUAAAGCGGGGUUCUAUCAUACUUAAUGGGAAGAUCAGAUGAAGCUGAGUGGUUGAAGAUCCAGUCACAGUAGUUCAAUCACCUCUCCCAUGUGUUUUUUUUUUAGGGUUUUCUCUUAGCAAGUCACUUCUCUCUAAUGGAGUUGUCCAGUCCACUCUUGCCUCCCUAAAUAAUUUUUUCCAUAAGAACCAGCUAUGAGAAUGAGAAGUAUCAACCUAAAUUGGCAGCUAUGCAAACAAACAUGCACUGAGGACAACCGACAACAGUGGCUGACUUCUUAUUUU